GAAAUGCGAUAAGUAAUGUGAAUUGCAGAAUUCAGUGAAUCAUCGAAUCUUUGAACGCACAUUGCGCCCGCCAGUAUUCUGGCGGGCAUGCCUGUUCGAGCGUCAUUACAACCCUCAGGCCCCCGGGCCUGGCGUUGGGGAUCGGCGGAAGCCCCCUGCGGGCACAACGCCGUCCCCCAAAUACAGUGGCGGUCCCGCCGCAGCUUCCAUUGCGUAGUAGCUAACACCUCGCAACUGGAGAGCGGCGCGGCCACGCCGUAAAACACCCAACUUCUGAAUGUUGACCUCGAAUCAGGUAGGAAGACCCGCUGAACUUAAGC
rnacentral:misc_RNA from 1 species